rnacentral:rRNA from 1 species
AGUGAACGCUGGCGGCGUGCCUAACACAUGCAAGUCGAACGAUGAUGGAGGAGCUUGCUCUUCCUGAUUAGUGGCGCACGGGUGAGUAACGCAUAGGUAAUGUGCCCCUUAGUCUGGGAUAGCCACUGGAAACGGUGAUUAAUACUAGAUACUCCUUCUCAUUAUAAGAUGAGUCGGGAAAGUUUUUCGCUAAGGGAUCAGCCUAUGUCCUAUCAGCUAGUUGGUGAGGUAACGGCUCACCAAGGCAAUGACGGGUAUCUGGUUUGAGAGGAUGAUCAGACACACUGGAACUGAGACACGGUCCAGACUCCUACGGGAGGCAGCAGUGAGGAAUAUUGCACAAUGGAGGAAACUCUGAUGCAGCAACGCCGCGUGGAGGAUGACGCAUUUCGGUGUGUAAACUCCUUUUAAGAGGGAAGAUUAUGACGGUACCUCUUGAAUAAGCACCGGCUAACUCCGUG